UACGUAGGGGGCAAGCGUUGUCCGGAAUCAUUGGGCGUAAAGGGCGCGUAGGUGGCCCGCCAAGCGUGCGGUGAAAGCUCGGGGCUCAACCCCGGGAGGCGGGUGGAUACUGUCUAGCUCGAGUCCGGAAGAGGAGUGUGGAAUUCCUGGUGUAGCGGUGAAAUGCGCAGAUAUCAGGAGGAACACCAAUGGCGAAGGCAGCACUCUGGGACGUGACUGACGCUGAGACGCGAAAGCGUGGGGAGCAAACAGG
rnacentral:rRNA from 1 species